UCUGGAUUUAGCAAGGGCUCCUGGAUGCACUCUGCUUCAAGGUGAAAAGCAAUUGCUACCAGAUUUGGCAGCUUUGGCUCCUGCUACUCAUGUCAAAGGCAAGGGCAGACACCAGGAGAAGAACCAAAGAGAUAAGGAGGGAAAACUUGCAGGAGAACCUCAGCGCCAGGCAGGCUGCAGCCACGGGAGAGGGGAGGACACCUCUGCAGGGCACCCACAGCUCUAUCCAUCCCCAAGGAUGGGCACUGAGCAGGGAAGUGCUGAUCCCUGGGAAGGACCUGAAUGGUGAAGGGCAGAAAAGGCAUUUCCCCCAGUGAGGGGCCCUGGCUCUCCCCUGUCCUUGGCAGCACUGUCCCCUCCCUACUCACACCCCUGGGGUGGCUGCAUCUCCAUGGGGCCGUGCAUGAUUACUUCACAGCCCCGUGGGAUGAAAGCUGUGUGCUUAGAUAUGGUUUAUCCCUUCCAACCCCUGAUGAUAAUCCGGGAUUAGUCCUUCCAGCGUAUGAUUACGUUUUGCCCACUCGCUUUGAAAUGACACCAUUCUGGCCCUUUUCUUGCUGCUUGUCCCACCAACCCUUAGGAAAACUGCUUGCCAGGCUCUGAUUAAAUCCUGCGUGCAGCAAAGUCCCACCAGGAUCCCAAAUAGCUUCACAUGUCCAUUCUCUCCCCUUUUCCUAUGCAGAGCUCCAGUCUCCAAAUACCAAUCCCUCUGACAUCCCCAUAGGGACAGGGUAUGCCUUGCUAUGCACGAGCACAAAUAUUCAUCUCCCAUAAUAAAUAUGCAGCUUUGCCAGC